AGCCUGAUUGCUGGAUUAUAUGGUAAGAGUAUGUUAAAAACUGCCAGAGGGUCUCCAAAGUGGCUAUACCAUUUUGCAUUCCCACCAGCAAU
rnacentral:pre_miRNA from 1 species